AAUUGCGAUACCCGUUGAUCCUGCGGGAGAUUACUGCUAUUAGGGUUCCACUUAACCAUGCAAGUCAAGGGGACUCUUCGGAGUCACCGGCGGAAUGCUCAGUAACACGUCGAUAAUCUACCCUAAGGUCUAGAAUAACCAUGGGAAACUGUGGCUAAUACUGGAUAGAAAAUUGAUACUGGAAUGUACUUUUUUUGAAAGUUACGACGCCUUAGGAUGGGUCGGCGGCUGAUUAGCUAGUUGGUGAGGUAAUGGCUCACCAAGGCUCAGAUCAGUACGGGCCUUGAGAGAGGGAGCCCGGAGAAGGACACUGAGAAAAGGGUCCUAGCCCUAAGGGGUGCAGCAGGUGGGAAACCUUUACAAUACACGAAAGUGUGAUAAGGGAACCCUAAGUGCUUACCAGUGGUGAGCUUUUAUUAAGUGUAAAUAUCUUGAUGAAUAAGUGGUGGGUAAGACCGGUGCCAGCAGCCGCGGUAACCCCGGCGCCACGAGUGGUAAUCGCGUUUAUUUGGCCUAAAGCGUCCGUAGUCGAUAAAGUCAGUCUUUUGUUAAAUCCUUAUGCUUAACAUAGGGGCCGCAAGAGAUACUGCUUUAUUAGAGAUCGGGAGGAGACAAAGGUAUUCCUUGGGUAGCGGUAAAAUGCGAUAAUCCUUGGAAGACCACCAAUGGCGAAGGCAUUUGUCUAGAACGAAUCUGACGAUCAGGGACGAAAGCUAGGGGAGCAAAAGGGAUUAGAUACCCCUGUAGUCCUAGCUGUAAACGCUGCAAACUAGGUGUUGCAUAUUCUUCGGGAAUAUGCAGUGCCGGAGCGAAGGUGUUAAGUUUGCCGCCUGGGAAGUAUGGUCGCAAGACUGAAACUUAAAGGAAUUGGCGGGGGCGCGCUACAAGGAGUGGAACGUGCGGUUUAAUCAGAUUCUACGCCGUGAACCUCACCAAGAACGACGGCAGGAUGAAGGUCAGAUUAAAGGUUUUACCUGACAAGCCGAGAGGAGGUGCAUGGCCGCCGUCAGUUCGUGCUGUAAAGUGUCCAGUUAAGUCUGGCAACGAACAAGACCUGUAUCCAUAGUUGCUACCGAGUCCUCCGGGACGAUCGAGCACACUAUGGAGACUGCCUGGGAAACAAGGAGGAAGGUGCAGGCAACGGUAGGUGGUAUGCCCUGAAUUUCUUGGGCUACACGCGCGUUACAAUGGUAAGGACAAUAGGAUACAACUCCGAAAGGAGAAGUCAACCCCUGAAACCUUAUCUUAGUUCGGAUUGAGGGCUGCAACUCGCCCUCAUGAAGCUGGAAUUCCUAGUAAUCGGGCGUCAUCAGCACCCGGUGAAUAUGUCAACGUGCCUUGCACACACCGCCCGUCAUUCCAGCCGAGCAGGGUUUAAGUGAGGCUUAUGCUUCAGCAUAUUUCGAACUUAAGCUCAGCAAGGAGGGACAAGUCGUCACAAGGUAGCCGUAGGGGAACCUGCGGCUGGAUCACCUCCUAU
rnacentral:rRNA from 1 species